GGACACUGGAGGCAAUGAAUUCUAUCAGGAAGUGAUCAAGCAACCAGAUCCUCCUAUUUUUUAGGUCAACAGUCUUGAAGAAUCAAUCGAUGAAGCAUUAGUCGUUGAUGAAUUUCCUAUUAACCCAAGCACUUGCCAAGUUCACCCAAUACACAAAUCCUGGCAUCCCAUAGAAUUGAAACGUGCUCCUGAAAGACAUCGAUUGCAGGGUCAAGUUUCAAGCAUAGCAAUAUUCGAAGAUAUUUAAAAUGCAGCACCGGAAAGCGAAAACAUAAAAAUAAUUUUGAAACGACCCGCCCCGAAUUCCCCUAGGCGAGUCUAUCUAGUCUCAUUAAAACGGACUUGAUAAUAAUUUUAUUCGUAAGGAUUCUGCCGAAAAUUCGACAAAGUCUCCUUUAUAUAUAUAACACUCCCAAUCUACAAAUAUGAAUAUAAUAUUCCCAAUACAAGUCAAUAUACAACAAACUCCAGUGCUCAACAUCCUCAACCAAAAUGCUGAGUUUUAUAUCUCCAGAGUCUCAAAAGAUAAUAUUAUAACUAAUAUUAAUAUCUCAAUUUAUUCUUAAUCCCAAAAGAAUAAUAUAACAAAAGUAUACACUCCCAAAAGAACAAGAUGACCAAGAUGUCCUAACAAAAACAUCUAUAUCUUCUAACACCAUCACGUGGCCAAGACUCAAAAUAUAUUUACAGUCGCUGGGUCGGUCUGGUGUACCUGCAAUCUCCUGGUGAGGGGGGAAAAUAUAAUAAAAACAGGAUAAGUCUAAAACUCAGUGAGAUCAGUGAGUGGAUAGUAGUUUUGAAAAUUAAUUCUUACUUUAAAAGAAAUAAUCAUACUAUUUCCAAACACGAUUUCAUUAAACCAUAAGCGAGAAACCAGUAAUAAAUCAUUAAACAUUUCAAUCAGAUUACUAACCAUGGAAAUCAUAUCAUAAUAGAAUUCAUAAAUCUGAAAAUCAUCACCAAACAAGUACCCAGGGAAAUAAUCUCGUCAUAUCCAGACCUCAACGAACAGGCAAUGACGUACUAUCUGGGUAACGUCACGCCCCAGAGCUACACGGAUAGACAUUGAAAUACUAUAUCAUAUCUCAUCAUAUAUGUGCAUGCAUAAUCUAGUCCCCAAGGGACAAAAGCGCCCAAGCACACGGCCCAAAGCUUCUGUGUGUACUCAGACGGGCCCCAAAGGCCUGUAUCUCAUCUGUAUCAUUUGUAUCUCAAUAUAUGUCUGUAUCUCAUAUCUGUAUCUCUGUAAUCAUCAUACCGCAUGCAUAUGCCCCCAAAAGGCAAAAGCGCCCAAACACACGGCCCAAAGCCUCUAUGUGUGUUCAGACGGGCCCCAAAGGCCUCUCAUCUCAUCUGUAUCACAUGUAUCUGGAGGGAAAUGUACUGUCUAAUGAUUUCAAAAACAAUCAUUAUACUCAUAUUCACAUACAUUUUAAUCAUACUUUAAAUCAUACCACAUUUGAAUCCACGUUUCUUAUCUUUAAAAUAUUAUCAUGCUUUAUUCAAAGUCGAUACGCAAAAUCAAUAACCAAACAUUUUAAUAAAAUACCAAUGCGUAAAUAAAAAUUCAUUUCGAGGAAAUCAUUAAAUCAGAACAUUUAAAAUACUUAUUUCACAAACAUGCAUUACUAUCAUAAUUAACUAUGAAAAUAGGUUUUGUAUAUUCCACUCACAGUGACAGUGUUCACGGUCGGUUAUCGUCCACGUCCGCGGAUCAGUUCUCGCUCGCGGAUCCUCCUAAAUCAAGGAAACGACAUAAUUAUUUUCCGUAAAUCAGAAUUACGACUAAAUUUAUGCAAUAAACUCGAAACGAACAUCUAUCCAUAAUUGACAACUCCCGUGUCCAUAAAAUUACUAAAAUGCCCUUGAGUCCGUAAAUCAUUAACACAUACUCUGAAAUCGUACAUCACCGAAUUAUCUUCGGAAUCGUAAUUACACUCACUCCUCAAUUCUAUGAAUUACUAAAAUAUCCACAGGCUCAGAAAUUACAAAAUUGCCAUCAUAGUGUGAAAUUACCAAAAUGCCCUUGCCGGUCAACGGUCACCGGAAUUUGGUCAACGCUGGCUAGGAAGCUCAAAUCUGAAAGUUCCAAUCACGCUGAGUUCAAUGGUACCGGCGGUGAGCUCCAACGCGCGGCAACGGCGCCGGAAUCGAGCUCGGCAGCCGUGAAUUCCAACAAUCGACCGGCGGCAAAACAGUGACUCUCGGUGCCUAUGGAUGGUCGGAAAUGGAAGAGGGAGUCGUGGGGAACAAGAUCCAACCGGUGGUGUCACCCAAAACAGGCGAAAAUCCCGGCGGAGUAAAGUGAAACAGUCGCGGGUUUCAAGCUUCGAUAGCCGGCGUUCCGAUUGUUUUUCGGCGGCUAGAAUGGCAGGGGAGCGACGUUCCGCUUCUAAGCUUCAGAUUGGUACCAAGAUCGGCCGAAACGGUGGCCGGAAAUGGGAGAUAUGGUCGGGCCACGUUUGCGGGUCGGGUCGGGUCGGGUUGUCGGGUCUGUAGUUGGGUCGGUUUGGCAGCUUCUCUCACACGUGCAUGUGUCUGUUUUUGCUCUGUUUUCCAGCUUAUUCUUUUACUUAUAAACUCCUUAACCGCCUCAUUUUCAUUUUGAAAUUCACAUAUGUUACAAAUUUCUCCACAAACUUCAAGAUUGAAGCCUCAUUAGAUUGUACGAUGUGUGUGUGUGUGUGUGUGUGUGAAGAUUUUAAACUCAA
rnacentral:lncRNA from 1 species